rnacentral:other from 1 species
CACUUUCUGAGUGGUUCGUGCUGAGGCAAUAAACAUAUUGAGCCAACAUUUGAAUAUACGGGAGGCCGAUGCUGUCUUUCGGUGCAGUCUUUCGAGGUUAAAGAAUGCCAAAGGAAGCGGCUUUGAUAUCUUCGGAUAGAAGGCCACCCACCUGUUGAAAACAGGUUCAAUUCACUUGUCCUCACACGGCCGUUUCGGUUGACU